CUCCCCUCUCCUCCGCCAACGUGGUGGACUCGUCGGCCCGCAACACGACGAGCGACGGAGCGAGCCGUCGGUGUCUGCGCCCGCACGGUGCACUGAACGUGGCGCCCCAGUUGUGAGACCCCCUUCGUCCUACUUAACCACCCCACCCUGCGCCGUUGAAGCGAAGGGGCAACCAUGAUGAGGCCUGGAGUGACGUCGGCCGCGGCGGCGGAGGUUUCGGCGGGCGCGGGUUACCGCGGCUGGGCAUGGAGGCCGAGGCCGAGGCAGGGGCAGCGCGUGAGGCUAGGGGCGUCCAGCCCCCACGCGGCCGCGGCGAGCGCCGUGCACACGAGGGACACGGAGCUCCGCCACGGCGAGCCGUUCCGCCGACCGCUCCUGUUGCCUGGCGGCAAGGGGUACGGCUCGGACCUAGAGGCGCGGAUCGAGAAGGCCAUCUACGCCUGCCGCUUCAUGACCUUCCUUGCCAUCGCUGGAUCUCUCGCGGGAUCCGUCCUCUGCUUCCUCAAGGGCUGCAUUUUUGUGAUGGACGCGUUCGUCGAGUACUGCAUGCGCGGCGAUGCCAAGGUCGUCUUCAUGCUGGUUGAAGCCAUUGAUAUGUAUCUCAUCGGAACUGUCAUGUUUGUCUUUGGGACGGGCCUGUACGAACUGUUCAUCAGUAACAUGGACAUUGCGAAACAAUACUCCUACGGCUCCAACCUCUUUGGCUUGUUCAGGCUUCCGGAACGACCCAAGUGGCUGGAAAUCCAGUCGGUGAGUGACCUCAAGACGAAGCUGGGUCAUGUCAUCGUCAUGGUUCUACUGAUUGGCAUCUCCGAGAAAAGCAAGAGGGUGACCAUCACAUCGUGUACUGACCUCUUUUGCUUCGCUGCAUCGAUUUUCCUCUCUUCAGGUUGCCUCUACCUACUAUCUAAGCUCGGUAGCACCAAAGGAGGGAGCCAUACCUGAAAAACUAAUAUUGUACGUAAGGGAUAGGAGAUAGGCCUCACAAUCUGAAAGGGAGGCAGUAUAGCUGAUUUACCAGUUCUACAACUUUUGUGAGACCAAGUGCCCAGGCAUAUUUAUUAGCUGCAAAGCAGAUUGUGCGCCUCUGAGGGUUAGAAACCUUCGGAAUUUCCUCUGUGAUUUGCAGAAAUUCAAAAACAGAGGAAUAGGAAAAAUACAGGAUUGCAUUAUCAUGUCCACUUGAAUCAUAUUGGAUUGAAUUUGUACCAAAUUUUGUUUGAUUGCACCAAAUGAAUAACAAAGGAAUCUUUCCAAAAGGUUUCAGUGGAUGGAAAAUACUAUGUGAAAUGUAGUAUUCCUUAUGAAAAAUUCCCAUAGCAUUCAAUCUUACAAAUCAAACAACCAACAUAUGAAAAAAUCCUGGGGAUUCUAAUCCUCAAAAUUUCCUAUGAAAAUCCUUUGAAUCAAAGAGGCCUGGGCCACUCCACACUCGAUUCCAGGAAACUUCCAUCGAUUAUAACCUUCGGAAAAAUUCAUAUGCCUCAUGAAUUAUCAUGUUUUUUCUAUGGUGUAAUCAAACACACUUUGCUAGCAUUUCCUAUGGUUUCUGCUACUGUAGGAUUCAAGAGGUCACAUUGCACCUGAAUUUUUCCUAUAGCUGUAUUUUGGAAUACUGCGGUUCAAAGAGGCCCUACGUUCACGAUUCUUAGUGGCAUCUAGUGAAGUUUGUUUCUCACCUUAAGUAUUCAGAACAUUAUCCAAUCAUUUUCACUUGGAUGCAGGCUUGCUGACUGCUGCUAGCAUGAGUUAGUGUUUUCCCUUUUUCUAGCGUGAGUUGGUAUUAUCCUUUUCUCUGAAGGGAACAUUAUUUUCUUUUCAUGAUCGGAGGUGUUUCCUACUCUUGCUAACAGCUGUAAAAAGAGUUGCGACAAAAAUGAUGAAAAUUCCCAUGCUUUUAGGUCAAGUUUAUGACACCUUUUCGUGUUAAAGGAGAGGAAUAAAAUGAUAUUAGUUGUAUUGUAUCAUAAAGGAUGAGAGAACCUCAAAUAAGUUAUUUGAUGAGUCCCAAGACAACCAAUAUGAGGCAAGGUUCCAAAUCAGAAAAAGACUUCAAUGCGCCUUUUCCAAAUCCAAAUUGAAGUUCCUUAAAAUUUAGAAAAUGGGGAUCCACGGAACAGGAACAAUUUCUGGUGGUGCAAUACCCUAUACAAAUAUAAUAACUUUGGGCAUUUGCUACUCUUUUCUGUAUGCAGCAAUAAGCAACAUAAUUAGAAGCUCCAACUUGCUGCUGUUCCUUCUACAUAAGGCCUGAUGAACUCUAAUAGAAGCUCCAACUUGCUGUUUUUUUGCUUUAACUUUGACUGGAACAUGCCAAGUGAUGCACUUGGUAGUUCAAGUUUGCAAGUUACAUGCUUAAUGAGGAUUCCAUGACUCCCCAAAUAUGUUAGAUUAGUAAAUCUGGAUCAACUUGUGCCUUAAGCAUAUGUUACUCAAGAGAUAUUUCGUUAGAAUGACUGAUGUUGGUAGUGCCUACAUGAUUCAGAACCGCAUCUUCAGUCCUUGGUAACACCUGAUAGAAAAAAAGGUAGUUGUUUGUUUGAUUGAUGCACUGGCAAAAAAAGAGUAAGAAAUAACCUCGCUGGUAAGAAGAUAGGUCUAAAUUUUUUUACUUUGAUACCUGUCGGACUGUCAGAGUUCAGGCCAGACUUGAGGCAUAUUCACAUGGCAUUGUUUCUUUAAUUUCCCUCGCUGCAUACAGUGUCUAUCCAGGUAGGAGAAGCUUAGAUGUUUCUUAGAAUAAAACUGGAUUGGGAAAAGGUGUUCCCUUUGGCAUAGAACUUAUGGAGAGAGAAGAGUUAUGGAAACAUCGUAAACUAUGGGCUGGGGUCUGUUGCUAUCACCUCCCUGGUCCUCCCGCCACUCAACUCCUUCAAAAGUACCUUUUAAAGACUAAACUAGUGACACAAUCUGCAUAUAUAAAGAAGGGAACUGGCUCAAGAGGUGAGCCAUCUUAGUAGUGACUGAGUAGCUUGUAUAUUGAGCUCUUAAUUCUUAUCCUCCUCUUCCAGCUUCCAUACUAGCUACCAGCCUACCAGUCUAUUGCUUGCCAGAUCCAUGGCCGUUCCGUUGAAAGCUGUUACCAUUUUCGUGUUGCUGCUGAGCACUACCUUCUGCCAGCUCCCUGUGCCUGUGCAUGCAAGGAGGCUAGAAGUGCGAGCGCCUACCGUCGACAUGCAUCCUCCCUGCACUGGAAGGAGCACUCUGGAGGCAUCUGCUGUGCUAGCUGAUUCGACCACUCCAGGCCAUAGCCCUAGCAUUGGCCAUAAUAGCCCUCCGAACUGAGAUGGCCAGAUGCCGCCAUGUUCCAUCCCUACAUGGAAUUUGCAGCAUGGGUAUCAUACGAUACGCUUAUGGUGUUUUCUCAAGCUUCUGUGUUCGUCACGAAAGGCAUAAGGCAUGUGCUCGACGCUGGGGAAGAUUUAGUUUCACUUAAUUUUCUUGUACCAGUGAAAGUUGUGCCUGCAUUUUUUUCACGCUUUCGUGAAAAACUUUUGCUUACUAUCAUCUCCGAGGAGGGUCUAUUGAUCUGUAGCAGUUUGCAUGUCAUUUUUUUUACUCUUCCUAUGUUGUAAACUUGAGGAGGUAUAUGUGAGCUUGUCAAAGUUGUCCUGCUAUGAUGAUGUAAACUUGAGAGUGGUCUGCUGUGAAUGACACGUUAGUUUUUCAUGCAGAUGAAGCAGCUUUUAUCAGUACUGGAUUCAUCUCUCUGUAACCUUUGUGGACUGCCUUCCAUGUAUACAUUAAGUUUGUAUAAAUUGGUCAUAAAUAAGAGAAAUUAUUAUCAAGAAAGUUGUAGACUGGCAAGACUGCAGUAUCAUCUGUUAUAACAUCUGGUGGGAGAGAUAAUAAACAUAAAAUGAUACAAGAUUGUGAAAUGUUUUUUUUU